GGGGCUAUAGCUCAGCUGGGAGAGCGCUUGACUGGCAGUCAAGAGGUCAGGGGUUCGAGCCCCCUUAGCUCCA
rnacentral:tRNA from 2 species